CGUGCCUAUUGAAGAAUGAGCCAACGAGUUCAUGUAUAUUGCGCGGCUAAGCCCGUUAGGGUGGAGCCAUAGGGAAACCGAGUGUGAAUAGCGCGUCUGUAGUAUGCAUGAGACCCGAAGCAGGGUGAGCUUGCCAUGAGCAGGGUGAAGUUUGUGGAAACACAGAUGGAGGCCCGAACCGGUUAGUCGUUCAACGCUAUCGGAUGACUUGUGGUAAGGAGUGAAAAGCUAAUCGAACUCUGUAAUAGCUGGUUCUCUCCGAAAUAGCUUUUGGGUUAGCGUCUUGUGUUCCUCUUGGGGGUAGAGCACUGGAAGGUGUGAAUAGGGGGAAACCUCGUCAUUCCUAUCAAACUCCGAAUACCAAGAGUUAAUAGCAAGGCAGUUAGACCGUGGGGGCUAAGCUUCACUGGUCAAAAGGGAAACAGCCCAGAUCUCAAGUUAAGGUCCCUAAAUCUAUGCUAAGUGCACUUAAGGAGGUGAGAUUUCUCCGACAAUGAGGAUGUUGGCUUAGAGGCAGCCACCAUUUAAAGAAAGCGUAACAGCUCACUCAUCUAGAGAUCUUGCGCCGAAGAUAAUCGGGGCUAAGCAUAGUACCGAAACUGAGGGCUUGUGAGUUUCAUAGAGGAAAAUUAAAACAAGCGGCGACUUCGACUGACGGCCUAAAAAGCCAGCACAGUCUGUAAGGGUGACAUCUCACCUGAAUGGGCCGCUUGGAGAGCGCGCAUAGUACGCCGGGAUCAGCAUGCCCGGUCAAAGUGCGCUCUACUGGGCGGACGGCGCUCUGCCGCAGGAUCUGAUCUUGCGGCAAGGUUUAGUGCCGUCCGCCAUGUACAAAGGAAUUUCCGGUCCGUGCGACGGGGAAUCACCUUGAAAUUUUUUGUGGUUGGAGAAUCACGUGGUUAGGACAGCCGGUACGACUCGCAAGGUCCCCGGAACCUACAGGCAGGCACAUAUAACCAUACAAAGGAAGAAUCCUAGGAACCUUCCAGGUGGCAAGCUGCACCACGGUGCCGUAUCCGAUGCAAGGACGGCUUCCCGAAAAAGGAAAUUAUUCCAAUCACAUCACUAUUCCGAACGCAAUAAUUAAAAAAUUUGUGUUCGGUCUUCUAUGAAACUCAUAAGCGGUAGGAGAGCGUUCCGUUCGCGAUGAAGCCAAAGGGGUGACCCAUGGUGGAGCAUACGGAAGUGAGAAUGUUGGCACAAGUAACCGCAAUGCGGGUGAGAGUCCCGCACGCCGAAAGACUAAGGUUUCCUUCGCGAUGAAGAUCAGCGAAGGGUUAGUCGGGCCUAAGCCGAUCCCGAAAGGGGGAGGCGAUGGACACAUGGUUAAUAUUCCAUGACUUUAUUGAAGUGCGAUGGGGAGACGGAGCGUAGUAUUCUGGGCGCAUUAUUGGAUUUGCGUCCGUGCUCUAAGGGUGUUUGUUAGGGAAAUCCGGCAAGCAUAAGCCCAAGGAGAGCGGAGACGUCAUGGUACGCCAUGAUUCAUCCAGGAAAGCACGCUUCCAAGAAAAUCCUCUAAGCUUCAACUUCAAUGAAACCGUACCGAAAACCGACACAGGUGGUCAGGUCGAGUAGACCAAGGCGAACGAGUGAUUCUUCCUCAAGGAAUUCGGCAAAGAAGCGACCGUAACUUCGGAAUAAGGUCUGCCUCUGCACCACUUUGUCCUCAACUCACGUCAUGAAAUGAAAAGAGGAGAUGACCAAGUGGCAAAAGAUACUACGGAAAUUAGUAUCGAUCUGCUGAAUGAGUCAAUAAAGUACAUAACUCCAACGUGCGAUACCAUGAACGGCAACGUCAUGUAUGCGUGCAUCACAUUUGAAAAUGGAACCCGCGGACACAUCACUUUUGAGCAGUUUGAAAGACUUGCUCGCGAGGGGUUGGUGUCUUCGGGCAAUCUCAGACAUUUUGAGGUUGCCAAGGGGUUCUGGGGAGGCGUGAUGGAUGCAAUCGCAGUUGGAGGAGUAUUGACCGUUUAGUGAAUUAGAACUUUAAGCACUCAAACGUAGAAGUUGAGGCUAAAGUGGUGUAGAGGCCGCAGCGAAAGAUCCCUGGCGACUGUUUACCAAAAACACAGCUCCCUGCGAACUCGUAAGAGGAUGUAUAGGGGGUGACGCCUGACCAAUGCCAGAAGGUUAACCACGGGGGGUCGUGUGCUUCGCACACAAGUCGUAAGAACGCUUCGCUUAAGGAAUAAGUGAUAAGGACAAGACUUUUCACUUACCCCUUAGAGCGAAUGAAAUGAGCGUACUUAUAGCUUGCGCGCGGAGCGCUCGGCUGGACUGUGUAAGCCCUGGUGAAUGUCGGCCGUAACUAUAAAACGUUGUAGUUACGUUAAAAAAUUCUGCUAUAUGCGGGAAACUCUGACCGAGGUGGAGUCUUAGGAUAAACCUCAAAGUAUCCAGCACUACUCGCCACACAGUCGAAAUGGCAGUAACAAUGUGUCUGGUGCAGACAAUCCGCAGGAAAGAUUAUUGUGUGGUAAUUGUGAAAUAUGCACGAUUACAAAAAGAUUAACCAAAACCACGGACACUACAUAGCCGGUUUUGUUGACGGAGAGGGAAGCUUCAAUGUCUCUCUCAAGAAGCGAACAGAUUUUGUAGGGGAGUGGAAGGUUACCGCAUCAUUCAAUGUGUCACAGAAAGACCGUGUCAUACUCGCUUUUAUUAAAAAAGUGAUUGGGUGCGGGACUCUGCGAACACGAAGAGAUGGUAUCGUGUACUAUGAAGUCACGAACAUUACCUCGUUGUAUGAAAAUGUACUGCCGUUUUUUAGGCGGUUCAAUUUUCUCUCGGCAAACAAGAAGCGCAACUUCACUAUUUUUUCAAAGAUAGUGAAGAAGAUGUACUACAAGGAACACCUGACGAAAGGAGGGUUUAAUGAAAUCCUUGUAUUACGUGAACAGCUCAAUUGGGGCGCCGGACGCAAGAGAAAGUACAACUUGCAAGACGCAUACACACAAUAAAAUCCUCACAGACUAUACGCAGAACGCACUGUGCACAAAACGUGCAGCACAGCAUUGCGAAGAUAUAGUCGAGUCCUUAUAGCGAUAUAAGGUUGACAAGAAACUGUAAUUGCUUGUCAUAGAAAAUAUACAGAACGGUCCUAAGGUAGCGAAAUUCCUAGUCUGGUAAUUUCAGACGUGCACGAAUGGCGUAACGACUGGGGAACUGUCUCGAGGAAGAGCUCGGUGAAAAUACAAUGCCGGUGAAGAUGCCGGCUACCUGCAGUUAGACGAAAAGACCCCGGGAGCUUUACUAUAGCUUGAUAUUGGGGAUGUGAAUUAAUUGCGUAGCAUAGGUGGGAGACUUUGAAGCCGAGCUUUUGGGCACGGUGGAGUCGCCAGUGAAAUACCACUCUAUUACUUUGCAUUCUCUAACCUGUGCGGAAAAAACGCACCGGAACAGUAUCUGGUGGGUAGUUUGUUUGGGGCGAAUCCCUCCUAAAAAGUAACGGAGGGGUCUAUUAAGGUCCUCUAGGCGCGAAUGGAAACCGUGCCGAUAGUGUAAUGGCACAAGAGGGCUUGACUGCAAGACGUACAUGUCGAGCAGGUGCGAAAGCAGAGCAUAGUGAUCCGAUGGUUCGCGUUAGAUGCGGCCAGAGCUCAACGGAUAGAAGUUACCCCGGGGAUAACAGGCUGGUACCGCCCAAGAGUCCAUAUCGACGGCGGUGUUCGGCACCUCGAUGUCGGCUCACCUUAUCCUGGAGGUGGAGAAGCUUCCAAGGGUUUGACUGUUCGUCAAUUAAAAAGGUACGCGAGCUGGGUUCAAACCGUCGAGCAACGAAGUUGCUCGACAAGUAGAAAGUGUAAAGUCGAAAGUCAGAAGCAAUCACUUCGUGAUUCGACUGUUUGAAUCCCAUUGAGAGAAUCGCAAGUCUUUUCGUCACACUAAGUCCCGAUGUAAAAAUCGGGAUCCCGACCAAAGCGUCGGGAAUAGAACCAAUCGCAUCACGGCGGUCCUCUUUAGCAAUAGAGAGUGAUCAAGCUGACUGAUAUCGGUAAAAUCUUUGAUUUUAUCCUGAGCUUGUCGAAGGAUGGAGUUCAGAGACAAUACCGAGGGAACCAAGCACCAUCCUGGUGCUCGGACCCGUAGAGACUGAACGUCAGCAGCCAAGCACCAUUUUGGUGCUCGGUGAAGCUACAGUCCAAUGCGCACAGUAAUGUGCGGGAACAUGCGUGAGACAGGUUGGUCUCCUAUCUACUGCAGGCGUUGAUUUUUGAGAGGAUUUGUUUUUAGUACGAGAGGACCAAAAUGAACUGACCUCUGGUGUGUGGGCUGUUCCGCCAGGAGCAGCGCCCAGUAGCUAUGUCGGGAACGGAUAACCGCUGAAAGCAUCUAAGCGGGAAGCCAACCUCAAGAUCAGAAAUCGUUAUGAGACCCCUAGGAGAUGACUAGGUGAUAGGCUUUAGGUGUACGCACAGUAAUGUGUUGAGCCGAGAAGUACUAAUGUCGU
rnacentral:rRNA from 1 species